UACGUAGGGUGCAAGCGUUAAUCGGAAUUACUGGGCGUAAAGCGUGCGCAGGCGGUUGUGCAAGACAGAUGUGAAAUCCCCGGGCUCAACCUGGGAACUGCAUUUGUGACUGCACGGCUGGAGUGCGGCAGAGGGGGAUGGAAUUCCGCGUGUAGCAGUGAAAUGCGUAGAUAUGCGGGAGAACACCGAUGGCGAAGGCAAUCCCCUGGGCCUGCACUGACGCUCAUGCACGAAAGCGUGGGGAGCAAACAGG
rnacentral:rRNA from 1 species